rnacentral:rRNA from 1 species
UACGUAGGGGGCAAGCGUUGUCCGGAUUUAUUGGGCGUAAAGAGCGUGUAGGCGGCCUGGCAAGUCCGCUGUGAAAACUCGAGGCUCAACCUCGAGACGCCGGUGGAAACCGUAAAGCUAGAGUCCGGAAGAGGAGAGUGGAAUUCCUGGUGUAGCGGUGAAAUGCGCAGAUAUCAGGAGGAACACCCGUGGCGAAAGCGGCUCUCUGGUCCGGUACUGACGCUGAGGUGCGAAAGCGUGGGGAGCAAACAGG